ACAACGGAGAGUUUGAUCCUGGCUCAGGAUGAACGCUGGCGGCGUGCUUAACACAUGCAAGUCGAACGAACCUUCGGGUUAGUGGCGGACGGGUGAGUAACGCGUGAGAAUCUGCCCUCAGGAGGGGGAUAACGGCUGGAAACGGCCGCUAAUACCCCAUAUGCCGCGAGGUGAAAUGAAUUUCGCCUGAGGAUGAGCUCGCGUCUGAUUAGCUAGUUGGUGGGGUAAAGGCCUACCAAGGCAUCGAUCAGUAGCUGGUCUGAGAGGAUGAUCAGCCACACUGGGACUGAGACACGGCCCAGACUCCUACGGGAGGCAGCAGUGGGGAAUUUUCCGCAAUGGGCGAAAGCCUGACGGAGCAACGCCGCGUGAGGGAUGAAGGCCUCUGGGCUGUAAACCUCUUUUAUCAAGGAAGAAGAUCUGACGGUACUUGAUGAAUAAGCCACGGCUAAUUCCGUGCCAGCAGCCGCGGUAAUACGGGAGUGGCAAGCGUUAUCCGGAAUUAUUGGGCGUAAAGCGUCCGCAGGCGGCCCUUCAAGUCUGCUGUUAAAAAGUGGAGCUUAACUCCAUCAUGGCAGUGGAAACUGUUGGGCUUGAGUGUGGUAGGGGCAGAGGGAAUUCCCGGUGUAGCGGUGAAAUGCGUAGAUAUCGGGAAGAACACCAGUGGCGAAGGCGCUCUGCUGGGCCAUCACUGACGCUCAUGGACGAAAGCCAGGGGAGCGAAAGGGAUUAGAUACCCCUGUAGUCCUGGCCGUAAACGAUGAACACUAGGUGUCGGGGGAAUCGACCCCCUCGGUGUCGUAGCCAACGCGUUAAGUGUUCCGCCUGGGGAGUACGCACGCAAGUGUGAAACUCAAAGGAAUUGACGGGGGCCCGCACAAGCGGUGGAGUAUGUGGUUUAAUUCGAUGCAACGCGAAGAACCUUACCAGGGUUUGACAUCCUGCGAAUCUCUUGGAAACUUGAGAGUGCCUUCGGGAGCGCAGUGACAGGUGGUGCAUGGCUGUCGUCAGCUCGUGUCGUGAGAUGUUGGGUUAAGUCCCGCAACGAGCGCAACCCACGUCUUUAGUUGCCAGCAUUUAGUUGGGCACUCUAGAGAGACCGCCGGUGAUAAACCGGAGGAAGGUGUGGAUGACGUCAAGUCAUCAUGCCCCUUACAUCCUGGGCUACACACGUACUACAAUGCUACGGACAAAGGGCAGCAAGUUCGCGAGGACAAGCAAAUCCCAUAAACCGUGGCUCAGUUCAGAUCGUAGGCUGCAACUCGCCUACGUGAAGGAGGAAUCGCUAGUAAUCGCAGGUCAGCAUACUGCGGUGAAUACGUUCCCGGGCCUUGUACACACCGCCCGUCACACCAUGGAAGUUGGCCACGCCCGAAGCCGUUACUCCAACCCUUGUGGAGGAGGACGUCGAAGGUGGGGCUGAUGACUGGGGUGAAGUCGUAACAAGGUAGCCGUACCGGAAGGUGCGGCUGGAUCACCUCCUAA
rnacentral:rRNA from 1 species